rnacentral:rRNA from 1 species
GACGAACGCUGGCGGCGUGCUUAACACAUGCAAGUCGAACGGAAAGGCCCUGCUCUUGUGGGUUGCUCGAGUGCCGAACGGGUGUGUAACACGUGAGUAUCCUGCCCUUGACUUUGUGAUAACUUCACGAAACUGCGGCUAUUACCGGAUAGGAUCUCCUGCUGCAUGUUGUGCGUUGGAAAGUUUCGGCGGUUGUGGAUGGACUCGCUGCUUAUCAGCUUGUUUGUGUGGUAGUGGCUGACCAAGGCUUAGACGGGUAGCCUGCCUGAGAGGGUUGCCGGCGACAAUGGGACUGAGAGACGGACCAGAAUGCAACGGGAGGCAGCAGUGGAGAAUAUUGCGCAGUGAGCGGAAGCCAGAUACAGAAACGCCGGGUGCGGGAUGACGGGCUUCGGGUUGUAAACAGCUUUCGAAUGUGACGAAGAGGGAGUGACGGUAAUGGGUAAAGAAGCAACGGCUAACUACGUG